ACUCCUACGGGAGGCAGCAGUGGGGAAUAUUGGACAAUGGGCGCAAGCCUGAUCCAGCCAUGCCGCGUGAGUGAUGAAGGCCCUAGGGUUGUAAAGCUCUUUCACCGGUGAAGAUAAUGACGGUAACCGGAGAAGAAGCCCCGGCUAACUUCGUGCCAGCAGCCGCGGUAAUACGAAGGGGGCUAGCGUUGUUCGGAUUUACUGGGCGUAAAGCGCACGUAGGCGGACUAUUAAGUCAGGCGUGAAAUCCCGGGGCUCAACCCCGGAACUGCCUUUGAUACUGGUAGUCUUGAGUUCGAGAGAGGUGAGUGGAAUUCCGAGUGUAGAGGUGAAAUUCGUAGAUAUUCGGAGGAACACCAGUGGCGAAGGCGGCUCACUGGCUCGAUACUGACGCUGAGGUGCGAAAGCGUGGGGAGCAAACAGGAUUAGAAACCCCGGUAGUCCCAUG
rnacentral:rRNA from 1 species